AUGACACGUCAGUGCAGUUCUCGUACCUCCCCACCUUGCCAUCCUUCCUUCCUUCCUGCCCUGCCCUGCCUGCGACCCACCGACGAAGAUUGCUUGCAUACUCUCUAAGAUGGAUCGGCUAUGUUUAGGUACCAUUCUGGGUUCCAUAAAUGAGGUACGAGUUCGGUACCAUUCCAUGUCCCCGACUGGUAUCAUGUAUAAGGUGAUCGGUCAUGUUCCUACCUUCCGUACGAUGUCAGCCAAUGAGUGCCUGCUGCUGCUAUUGUCCAAAUAUGUGAACAGUGAGUGCUUAGUACUUUGAGCAUUUCGCUCUCGCUGUAACUUCUCUACCCGUUUCAUGCGAUUGCAUGGAAUUGGUUUGCAUUUUGGAGAGCUGACUCUUCUUCUUCUUUUUUAAUCUUUAUUUCCCUUUUUGCCCCCAAUUUCUGACGUUGGUUCCACUCUGUAAUUCCGCAUUGAUUGUUGCCUUUUACGGCACUAUCAGAUGAAUUUCGUCUUUUGGAGCUUUUACUUACGAAUUGUCUAAUCGCUAAUUAUAGCAAUGAGGAAGUCAUGGAAUCUGCAUAGAAACAAGCAAUCUGAAAGAAUCCGGGAUUGUGUCAUCAUAGCAAACACAGGCCCUUAACGUCCAAUUGGUGGCGAAAUAAAACUAAAAACUGAAAAGUCUAGUACUGGAGAAGGCAGUGAACUCACAGGCAGCUGGCUGAAAUAUUCCGUCAAAACAUAACGAUAAACAACAAACCUGUUUUCUAUACUAUCCGGCGAUGUUCUCCCAUCUGAGGACGGCUUGGUCGAUUCAAAGCAGAAGCAGAUUUAGAUCAAACUCCCGAUGGAGAAGGGUUUUACCUCGACAUAAUUCCAAGGAAGAUUCCAAAGCUGAAAGUUGAUGGAACAUUUAUAAAUAUUUUGACUUCAUAUCAAGUCUUGUACUGUAUUUAGUGUGUGCGAAAUGAUGAACUUCAGCCUGAUUUUAGAAUUCCUUUAUUUUUUUUAAAGUUUAAAGCUCAUACACUAUUUCCAGCUCAUUUACCAAUGAUGGGAGUACAUUAAUCCUUGCCUUUAUUUCAAA